rnacentral:rRNA from 1 species
AACGAACGCUGGCGGCAGGCCUAACACAUGCAAGUCGAGCGAGGACUUCGGUCCUAGCGGCGGACGGGUGAGUAACGCGUGGGAACGUGCCCCUUGGUACGGAAUAGCCCCGGGAAACUGGGAGUAAUACCGUAUGAGCUCUACGGAGGAAAGAUUUAUCGCCAAGGGAUCGGCCCGCGGUGGAUUAGGUAGUUGGUGGGGUAACGGCCUACCAAGCCGACGAUCCAUAGCUGGUUUGAGAGGAUGAUCAGCCACACUGGGACUGAGACACGGCCCAGACUCCUACGGGAGGCAGCAGUGGGGAAUCUUAGACAAUGGGCGCAAGCCUGAUCUAGCCAUGCCGCGUGAGCGAUGAAGGCCUUAGGGUUGUAAAGCUCUUUCAGCUGGGAAGAUAAUGACUGUACCAGCAGAAGAAGCCCCGGCUAACUCCGUGCCAGCAGCCGCCGUAA